rnacentral:rRNA from 1 species
GUAGGGUGAACCUGCGGAAGGAUCAUAG